rnacentral:rRNA from 1 species
GACGAACGCUGGCGGCGUGCUUAACACAUGCAAGUCGAGCGGUAAGGCCCUUUCGGGGUACGACGAGCGGCGAACGGGUGAGUAACACGUGGGUGACCUGCCCUCAGCUCUGGGAUAAGCCUGGGAAACCGGGUCUAAUACUGGAUAUGACUCCAUGACGCAUGUUGUGGGGUGGAAAGCCUUGUGCGGCUGAGGAUGGGCCCGCGGCCUAUCAGCUUGUUGGUGGGGUGAUGGCCUACCAAGGCGACGACGGGUAGCCGGCCUGAGAGGGCGACCGGCCACACUGGGACUGAGACACGGCCCAGACUCCUACGGGAGGCAGCAGUGGGGAACCUUGCGCAAUGGGCGAAAGCCUGACGCAGCGACGCCGCGUGAGGGAUGACGGCCU